CCUCACCCCAAGGUGCCCCACAUAAGGCCUGUCUAUGGUGAGGUCCGAGAGUGAACACAGCGUUCUAUACAGAGUGGACUGGCAGGGGCUGAGCCGGCACCAGAACACAGGGCAUCUUUCUCUGUAAGCCACUCCAUCCUGAGAGUGACAAGUGAACUGCAGGUCAGAAGGAAGGAGGAGGGAGAGUGAGACAGAAAGAAGCAGGACUGCAGCCUCAGAGGGAGAGGCAGAGGAGGAACCUGAGACAGAACAUGUCCAAAGUUACACAUGCGGUACACAAUAGAGCUGGAAUCUGAAACAGGUAGUCUGCUUCUGAGUCUGCAUUAUCUCAGUUAUGGUGGCACAGAACUUAAACUGACAGGUUUGGCAUAGUGGAAUUCAAAUUCCCAGCUCUGACCCACACUGGUUGUAUAGCUUUCAGGAAGCCAUCAGCCCUAGAUAAGCCAUGGCUACCUUGCCUCAAUGAUGGGAAAGCUCCAGUUGCAAAGAGAAAGCAAGUUUUCCCCCUUUCAUGGUGGAUUGCCAUGGUUGUAAGAAACAGAAGCCCACUCAAGCUACUAAAGCAAAAAAAGGAAGACACAUCUUAAAGACACAGGUCUGAGACCCCAAGGCAAGAAACAUGGCCUCUGCAAAGUCUAGAACUAAGGCUGCAAAGCCACCAGACAGGUUCUCUAAGGCUCUACAAUUUCCCCAUUCACAGGGGGAGAAGACCCUCAGAAUACCACCUGAGAAAACCAGGCUUCCCUGGUCACAGUGGUAUUUAUGGCCACCCAUUGGAGAGCCACAUGAAGCUUCCCCUGCCCCCACCUCCUCUUUGCUAAUUCAGCUCUAACUUGGUUGCAUCUGCUUU